rnacentral:rRNA from 1 species
AGCAGCCGCGGUAAUUCCAGCUCCAAUAGCGUAUAUUAACGUUGUUGCAGUUAAAAAGCUCGUAGUUGAAGUGUGGGUGAUCGCUGUUGUGAGACUUCGGUCUCUCGACAGUAAGUCACCCCCUUCCAGUAUCCAGUAGUGGGUAUUCACUUACUUACUAUUGUGUGUUGGUCCUUUACAGUGAGAAAAUUAGAGUGUUCAAAGCAGGCGUUUGCUUGAAUAGAUUAGCAUGGAAUAAUAAUUGAAGGCUUUCGUGUUCGAUUUGAUUGGUUUGUUCAUGGAAGCAAGGUUAAAAGGAACAGUUGGGGGUAUUCAUAUUCACUAGUUAGAGGUGAAAUUCUCGGAUUUAUGGAAGAUGAACAAGUGCGA